ACGAGCUGCAGCAGCUGAUGGACAGAGCAGGAAAGCUCUGCCCUGCUGGGGGGGAUGUUCUGCCACAGGGGGAUCCCUUCCAGGCACCUUGGCUCCCCAGCUGCUGCCUCCAGCCCUGCAUGGAGGAGGAGGUGCCAGGCUGGCACAAAGCACAGGAGAUUUAUGUCACAAGCUUUAUUUUCAUGAAGCACCAGACACCAAAACAGGCCACCAAACUGAUGCCCUGUGAUGGAAGAUGUACAAGACUUGCUGCUGAGAAUACAGAAUUGGAACCACUUUGGCACUCUUCACAAAAAUCAGAGCUUCCAUCCUAAUUUUUCCUACCCUGUGCCUUUCUGCAACAGAGAUUUUUCUUCUACAAGUGGUUUCCAGACAAGCAGGUUGCUGGCAUCUGCUACAUGUUUCUGUGGAAUUUUGUUCCCCCACCCCAACUUCCUGCCCCAGCUGGGCAAAGACUUGUGUCUACUUGAUUCCAGAAAAUUCAUUUCAACAAACCCAGCAUGUUUAUCUGACUUCCCUGGUAGCCUUACAGUGGAUCUGGGAGCACUAACAUUCAGCUAGGAUAUCAGCAUCCUGGGAACAUCCUGGACUCUUCUUAGGAAUAUUCAUCUCCUUUGAUGGGCAGCACAAAUUCUGGUGUGCUCCUCCAGGGCCACAGCCCGAUUUCAGAUGCCAGGAGGUGUUUGCCUCCCCACAGAGCCACUCAUGUUGAACUCUCUGCCAUAGCAACUAAGCCAGCAAACAGACAAUAAACUGCUUUUUUUCUAAGCAGGAUCCUGGUAUUCAAACACAAUGACUAAAAUACUGCAGAGAUUUCAGUAUUGCCACUUCUCUGAGUGCAUUAAAACUUCCGUCUGGUGUAUUUCUUUAUAGCUGAGCUCUUGCAGGGAAUGGAUUAAGCUGAAAAAUCCUUAAAUCUUUCUCUUUUUUUUUUUUUAA